CUGGAAAAAAAAUUUUGACACAGGUGCGGCUAAGCAAGGCUAGUGUUUGUUUUGCUUUUCCACUAUCUUCUUUUUUGAGUUUGGUGGUACAAUAGGCAUCUAACCCUGAGGUUGGCUUCUUGAUGCUUUGUUACAAGCUAUAAGCCUAACCUCUUUUUUGUUGUUUUAUAUCUUUUCCUUGCUCCAUUUGCUAGCAAGCAUUGGGAUUCUCCUUUCUUCUGAUCC
rnacentral:lncRNA from 1 species